CCCUUAGAUGUUCUGGGCCGCACGCGCGCUACACUGAUGCAUUCAACGAGUUUUUUCCUUGAUCGAAAGGUCUGGGUAAUCUUUUGAACAUGCAUCGUGCUAGGGAUAGAUUAUUGCAAUUAUUAAUCUUGAACGAGGAAUUCCUAGUAAACGCGAGUCAUCAACUCGCAUUGAUUACGUCCCUGCCCUUUGUACACACCGCCCGUCGCACCUACCGAUUGGAUGAUUCGGUGAAAACUCUGGACUGUGACGAAGCUUCCUUUAUUGGUGGUUUUGUCGUGGGAAGUUGUUUAAACCUCAUCAUCUAGAGGAAGGUGAAGUCGUAACA
rnacentral:rRNA from 1 species